CAGACCUCUGACCCUUGAGGACCUACAUACUGAGAAACAAAGAGACAUGUUCCAAGCCGUGUUACAACUGAAUUCCAUUUGUACUUCAGAUGCCUGGCAAGAUUGAGAAGGAACACUUCCAGAAGCCAGAUUGAUAAUCAUCGGGUGCAGCAAAAGCUGGGCAUCCACAGUCACGACUGGCCUUGCUCUGCAGGGAGAAAACAAGAGGUUUCCAUGAGCCACAUGAGCAACACUGCACUUCUAGGGACCACUGCCAACGUUCCCAGCCUUCAGGCCAAGAAUUUGCCUCACUGCAUGAACAGGUGGGCUCCAGACUUAACUAAUUACCUUAAAACACAUGUCGUCGCUCAUGACUCCAAAUGAAGGAUGCUAUGGGCCCCAUCAAGCAAAACUGUGUUCACAGACUUGCUUUGUUUCUGGAGGGGGCUCAGGGUAUUUGGUGCUAUCACCAUGCACUGCCUCUCUGGAAUCUGCUCUAUUCCUAUCGGAGCAAAUGCGUCAUUCUGCCUUCACUCGUGCCUGUAAGUACUUGAGUUUUGCAAAUUCUCUCAUCUUA